rnacentral:misc_RNA from 1 species
GAUGACCUAUUUUGCUUGGAGUUGUAUCCUAGUUCACAGCCUGAGUGGUGCUACAAAGGUUGUGGACUCUACUAUUUCUUGCCUCUUCCUAAUGCAAGGGACUUGAUAUGUUUUUCUUGUUAUAAAUCUUGACCAAAAUAGAGAAAGGAAAAAGCUAUACAUGCCUCCAAAGGGGGACAAACCUGGAUACAGAGGUAGUCUAACUGCAAACACAGCUAACAAGUCGAAGCACCGUUCACCUAAGGUAAUAGAUAGUUUUCAAAGUUACUUGAUUCUUUCUUGUUUGUUCCUUAUAAAUGUAAAGUAAUUUUGGUAUAUGAUGUAAUUGUAACUACUGUAUGAAUUCUCACUCUAAUUUAAUUUACGUUCCACAAUGUAACAGUUCAUAUUUUUAUGAUAUGAG